UACGUAGGGUGCAAGCGUUGUCCGGAAUUAUUGGGCGUAAAGAGCUCGUAGGCGGUUUGUCGCGUCUGCUGUGAAAACCCGAGGCUCAACCUCGGGCCUGCAGUGGGUACGGGCAGACUAGAGUGCGGUAGGGGAGAUUGGAAUUCCUGGUGUAGCGGUGGAAUGCGCAGAUAUCAGGAGGAACACCGGUGGCGAAGGCGGUUCUCUGGGCCUGUACUGACGCUGAGGAACGAAAGCGUGGGGAGCGAACAGG
rnacentral:rRNA from 1 species